rnacentral:lncRNA from 1 species
AGGAAUUCAUGUUAAAUAAAAGCAAUGAAUUGGUCUCAAUCUGGAACAGCUAGAGAGGAUAGGGAUUAUAGAAUAACUGGUCAAGGUGGAACAAAGAUACAGCGAAUACAUCAUAAGCCUAGCAAUUUUAAACCCCAUCAACAUCUCUCAUGUAAUUCCAGAUCACCAACCCUAGAGAGGAAGAAAUCGGGCACCUUCGGCAUAACCUCAUGCAUCCUCAGUAUCUAUACAACAGAAAUCUUACUUCGUGUUAUUACUAUGUAUGCAGGGUCCCCAAAAAUAAACUCUUCUUUAUGACAGAAGGGAUGUAAUGGGAAGCACCAUCCAGGCACAGGAAGCUUUAAUGUGGGGGUUGUCUUGUAUCAAGAUGCCAGCUGAAAAGGGUGCUUGCAAUUUAAUUGGAAGCACAUUAUGUCUGUACUAGUGUGUAAACGUAGAAGUCAAGUAUGCCAGUGAUGUUUUAUCUUAUGUAAGGGUAGACAGGAUUGACAUGUAUUAAAUAACCCUUUAGGAGAAGAGAAUAAAGUUGGUACAACAAACCCCUAGAAAGAAGGCCUAACAGACAUAUAUAUAUGCACUUAUAGGACUAGAACCCUACAUCUGUAAAAUACAGAUGCUCAAAUACAUGUGUU